UCUUAGGUGCAAAGCAAAUUUGGAGAAACGGUUUCUAAGCACCAUCACCAACAAUGUCAGCAAUAAGUAGAUUUUGAAGUUUGUUCACUUCCACAAAGUCCAAAGUUCUAACAAGUGGAGAAACUAACAACCCGUGGAAGAAAAUUCCUAGAAUCCUGGGAUCAAGUCAAAACACCUGAUGGUUUUAGAGGACAGAAUUUUUGGAGAGAAAAACACAACCAGAUGACUCUCUGCACCCCUUUCCCAGGCCAUGGGCACCUGCCUGAUUCCUAUGGUCAUGAAGGAACAUUUUUCUGAUGUGGCCAUAUUCAUGGUGUCAGUGCAAUCUCAUCAGAGAUGAGGCUCCCCACUCAAGCUGCCAUGUGACUUGACAGCUCUUCAUACCGUUCGCUCACCAGAGUGGUGUCCAGUUUCAGGAGCACGGAAGAAAACAGUCGGAGUGCAGUGGCACAAUCAUAGCUCACUGCAGCCU
rnacentral:lncRNA from 1 species